rnacentral:rRNA from 1 species
GAUGAACGCUGGCGGCGUGCCUAAUACAUGCAAGUCGAGCGAACAGACGAGGAGCUUGCUCCUCUGACGUUAGCGGCGGACGGGUGAGUAACACGUGGAUAACCUACCUAUAAGACUGGGAUAACUUCGGGAAACCGGAGCUAAUACCGGAUAAUAUAUUGAACCGCAUGGUUCAAUAGUGAAAGACGGUUUUGCUGUCACUUAUAGAUGGAUCCGCGCCGCAUUAGCUAGUUGGUAAGGUAACGGCUUACCAAGGCAACGAUGCGUAGCCGACCUGAGGGGGUGAUCGACCACACUGGAACUGAGACACGGUCCAGACUCCUACGGGAGGCAGCAGUAGGGAAUCUUCCGCAAUGGGCGAAAGCCUGACGGAGCAACGCCGCGUGAGUGAUGAAGGUCUUCGGAUCGUAAAACUCUGUUAUUAGGGAAGAACAAAUGUGUAAGUAACUAUGCACGUCUUGACGGUACCUAAUCAGAAAGCCACGGCUAACUACGUG